UACGUAGGUGACAAGCGUUGUCCGGAUUUACUGGGCGUAAAGAGCGCGCAGGCGGUCGAUCAAGUCGAGUGUGAAAGCCCCCGGCUCAACUGGGGAGGGUCAUUCGAUACUGAUCGACUCGAAGGCAGGAGAGGGUAGUGGAAUUCCCGGUGUAGUGGUGAAAUGCGUAGAUAUCGCUUGGAACGCCGAAGGUGAAAACAGGCUGCUGGGGUUGUGCCGACGCUGAGACACGAAAGCCAGGGGAGCAAACGGG
rnacentral:rRNA from 1 species